rnacentral:rRNA from 1 species
GAUGAACGCUGGCGGCGUGCCUAAUACAUGCAAGUCGAGCGAACGGACGAGGAGCUUGCUUCUCUGAUGUUAGCGGCGGACGGGUGAGUAACACGUGGAUAACCUACCUAUAAGACUGGGAUAACUUCGGGAAACCGGAGCUAAUACCGGAUAAUAUUUUGAACCGCAUGGUUCAAAAGUGAAAGACGGUCUUGCUGUCACUUAUAGAUGGAUCCGCGCUGCAUUAGCUAGUUGGUAAGGUAACGGCUUACCAAGGCAACGAUGCAUAGCCGACCUGAGAGGGUGAUCGACCACACUGGAACUGAGACACGGUCCAGACUCCUACGGGAGGCAGCAGUAGGGAAUCUUCCGCAAUGGGCGAAAGCCUGACGGAGCAACGCCGCGUGAGUGAUGAAGGUCUUCGGAUCGUAAAACUCUGUUAUUAGGGAAGAACAUAUGUGUAAGUAACUGUGCACAUCUUGACGGUACCUAAUCAGAAAGCCACGGCUAACUACGUG